rnacentral:rRNA from 1 species
GACUACUAGGGUAUCUAAUCCUGUUUGCUCCCCACGCUUUCGCGCAUCAGCGUCAGUUGUCGUCCAGCAGGCCGCCUUCGCCACUGGUGUUCCUCCUAAUAUCUACGCAUUUCACCGCUACACUAGGAAUUCCGCCUGCCUCUCCGAUACUCAAGAACAGCAGUUUCAAAUGCAGUGCCGAGGUUAAGCCCCGGCAUUUCACAUCUGACUUGCCAUCCCGCCUACGCGCCCUUUACACCCAGUAAAUCCGGACAACGCUUGCCACCUACGUAUUACCGCGGCUGCUGGCACGUAGUUAGCCGUGGCUUGUUUUCCAGGUACCGUCAUUUGUUUCGUCCCUGGUCAAAGAAGUUUACAACCCGAAAGCCUUCUUCCUUCACGCGGCGUUGCUGGGUCAGGGUUUCCCCCAUUGCCCAAUAUUCCCCACUGCAGCCCCCCGUAGG